GGGGAAUAUUGCACAAUGGGCGCAAGCCUGAUGCAGCCAUGCCGCGUGUAUGAAGAAGGCCUUCGGGUUGUAAAGUACUUUCAGCGAGGAGGAAGGCGUUAAGGUUAAUAACCUUGACGAUUGACGUUACUCGCAGAAGAAGCACCGGCUAACUCCGUGCCAGCAGCCGCGGUAAUACGGAGGGUGCAAGCGUUAAUCGGAAUUACUGGGCGUAAAGCGCACGCAGGCGGUCUGUCAAGUCGGAUGUGAAAUCCCCGGGCUCAACCUGGGAACUGCAUCCGAAACUGGCAGGCUAGAGUCUUGUAGAGGGGGGUAGAAUUCCAGGUGUAGCGGUGAAAUGCGUAGAGAUCUGGAGGAAUACCGGUGGCGAAGGCGGCCCCCUGGACAAAGACUGACGCUCAGGUGCGAAAGCGUGGGGAGCAAAC
rnacentral:rRNA from 1 species